CAAGAAGACCGAAUCAGCUGUACGGAUCUUGAUUGCAAUCUUUGCGCCACCAUUAUCACACGGUGAGUUUUGCUCUGCUUUAAAAAGUUAUAGGAGGCGGGAAAUCAAAAGACUUCUUUGCUUUUCAAGAGUCACUCCAAGACUGCAGAAAGCGAAAUGGAUGUUUGGCGUGUUCUUCAUAGACCUUCCCGUGUGAUUCCACCGAAUAAAGGAGAUAGUUAUUCCCGAAGCUUCAAAGAAACAUCGUGGUCAACAUUCUACUCAGACUCUCCAGCUUCUUUCAACGCAGGCGGUGUGUCGCGUAUUCCCCGAUCUGUUUGUCUCUCUGCCGCUGUCACAACAGAGAUCCGGUAUCUUCUCGGCGCUCGCCUGAUGAUUCAAGGAACUUGACAGGAAGCUGACAUUCUGUUUGGCCGCCGUCUACAACUGAAAAUGCCAGUAAGGUGGCCGGCUGCAUCAAAGGCUCUGCGUUUUCCGCUUCCGUGGCGGCUUUCUGUUCCCUUUGCUGUCCGCCUAGGGCUGGUAACGAGGCGUCGAGAAGGCUAGGGGGCGAAGGGGGUCCCUUCCUGUCUUCCUCCCUGAGCGGCACUUUGCCGAGGUUACUCGGCUGUGAGGGCCGUUCCCUGGAUCCACCGUUGUUGUUCAACGUGUACCCGUUUCCUGUUUCAUGCCUCGGAACCCCGUUGUCGUGUUUUUCGCGUGGAUCGCCUUUUUCAAAAACGACGCCACCUGGCUGUUCCUCAUCUUCCCGCCGAGUUCUCGAGAGUUGUGUGCCCGUGACUGGUGGAUGACCAAAGUUGUUCUUUGUGACAGCGCCGAAGAUCUCCUCAGACCCAUCGAUGGGUUGUAGAAAGAGGGGGCAUUGGACUGGCGCUGCGCUCCCAUCACAGGAAGCUGCGUAGGCGGUUACGAUAUCUGCAUUAUUCACAGCCGUCCCGCUCGUCUGACUCGUCUUGCCUAUCGUUUCAGGACCUGCUCCACUUGCAUCUAUUCUAUCCUGGUACGGAUUCGGAACAGCUUCAUCACUUUCGAAAAUCAGAACAUCCUGCUCGGUGGACGUUUGCUCUCUCGUGUGCAUUGGGUUAGCGGCAGCGCUGCCGUCAAAACGCUUCGAUACAGCCGUUUCCGGGAGGUUCUCGUUUUCGGUUUCAUCUGAAUGCCGAUAUCGACCAGUCUUAACGACAGGCAAUCCCGCAGUUUCUCCCUCCAGUUCAGUGGUGGAAAGUGCAUGCCCUGACACGCUGUUAGACCCCAGUUCUAUGUCCGUUGCACUAACAAAACCU
rnacentral:lncRNA from 1 species